CACUUGUUGGUCUAGGGGUAUGAUUCUUACUUCGGGUGCAAGAGGUCCCAGGUUCAACUCCCGGACAAGUCC
rnacentral:tRNA from 1 species